AGAAGAAGAAGAAGAAGAAGAGUUCGUUCCGUUAGCAGACUGCUGUUCCCACGGUGACCGCUGUUACUACAGAGGACCACACUGUCGUUGCCAUGGAGAACAAAACAGAUGUCCAAACUUCAGACCAAACCUCCUCUCCUGAUGGAGAGGUAACAAAGCCCGCUGGCCGCCGUCCCCGCCGCACAGCUACCUUAAGCAGGCGAGGCCAGAGAGGCAAGAGGCGGGGUCCGGCAGAGAAGAGGCGGGGCCCAGGUGAGAAGAGGCGUGGGCAAAAGGAGAGGAGGCGUGGGCAGGAGGAGAAGAAGGAGGGGGUGACAGUGAAGAGGACGUGGAGUGACGGGAAGAGGCGGUGGGAUAAGAAACACUACUGCGUGUUCUGUCGACGGCCGCAGGUGAAGAUCGCUCGUCAUCUGCUGAGGAAACACGCCGACCAACAGGAAGUUGCAGCCGCCAGCACAUUGCCAACGGGCUCCAAACAACGUCACCUGCUGCUGGAGCACCUGCGUUGCAGGGGCAACUACCUACACAACAUCGAGGUGAUCAGACAGGGCAGCGGUGAGAUUGUGCCGUGGCGCCAGCCCUCGCAGGAGGUCGAUGCGAGGAACUACCUUCCCUGCCCGUUGUGCCUCGGUUUCUUCCUUCGUGCUGAUCUCUGGAAACAUCAGGCGUCCUGUCGUAAGAAAAUAUCCUCUGACCCAUCUAAGGACUUGGCCUCCACAGCAGAAAAAUCCUCAGACUCCAUGAAGGGCCCGACCUCUGACUCCGCAGGUAAUUCAGCCGGUGAUCCAGCAGACGACAGGACCUCCAAGUUCACAGAAGAUGCACCGUCUGACCCCUCAGGAGACAGGACCACAACAGACCAGACUGGGACCAAACGGCCCAUGACCUCUGACCCUAAUGUGGAUCAGAACAUGACCUCUGACCCCGGUGUGGACCGGCCCAGGAAGCGCAGCAGGGUCCAGGCUGCAGCAUCCCGCCUCCUUCCCAUCUCCAGCGGAGCAUCUGAGAGCUGCAGUGAAGUCCUGCACCGCAUGAACCAGGACCAUGUCUCACACCAGGUCAAAUCUGAUUGGUUGAUCUGUAAAUAUGGAAACAAGUUGAUGGGAAACCAAGAUGGCAGCCAGCGCAGGUACGACUACGUCAGUCAGAAGCUGAGGGAGCUCGGCAGGUUCCUCCUCGCUGCUAAAUCACUGGACUCAGGUGUUCAGACCCUCCAGGACCUUCUGGCUCCAGGUCGCCUCAGCCUGGCACUGGCCGCUGCCAGAAAGGCAUCCGGAUACCGGUGGAGCCGCCCGCCACUGGCGGUGAAGACGACGCUGAAGACUGUUUGUGAGAUUGCCAUCGGAGAGAGUCUGCAGGACGGAGACUGGGAGGCUGCAGCCAAGACCACCGACUUCUACCACCUGCUGGGGAGGGAGUGGGACAACCUGGGGCUACUAAACCCUGACCCUGAAACAGUCACUCCAGUAGGAGGCGCUAAGAUGAAGAAACGAUCCGCACAACCAAGAAGUGAGAAGGGAUGUAAAGAACCCGAUCAAGAGCAGUCUGACCCAAGACCAGAGGUUCUGUCACAGAGCAGUAUCCGACGGAUGACCACGGUUCCACCAGAGUCCAGACUGCAGACUCCUAUCACAGUCCCUGUGGCUCCCAGGAAGGUCCGACGUCGCCCAUGGUCUUCUGCAGAGAAGGAGGCAGUUUGGAGACAGUUGGGAGUCCAUGUGCUGGUGCAGUCAGUUCCGGGGAAGGAGGUCUGCCAGCGGUGUCUGGAUUUGGAGCCUGUCCUCAGAGGACGGCACUGGAAAGACAUAAAGAACCAGGUCCACAACCAGAUCCAGAGCCAAAAGAAGCAGCAGUUCCACGCACAGAUGGACCUUCAGGAGAACCAGGAAGAACAAAACCAAAUCCAAAACCAGAAGAAGCAGCAGUACCAUGUCCAGACAAAUCAACCUGACCAGAACAGCAUUCAGAACAAGAAGAAACAACAGUACAACAUCCAGAUGGACCACCAAGACCAGGACAACAUUCAGCAUACUAGGAAACAAGAGUACCAUACUCAGUUGGACCACCAGGACCACAGUCAAAUCCACAAAAAGCAACUGUGUCAUACUAGACUAGACCCCCAUGACCACAGUCAAAUUCACAAAAAGCAGCUGUACCAAAUGGAGGACCAGACCCAGCAACUGCAGACCAGCCUGGAACGGGAUACUUCUAUAUUGACUGGUACACUUUAUGGACCUGAUGGGCCACAUCGAGCCCCUGGACAGUCAUUGCUGGAGCGGGACCCCACCAUCAGUCCAUAUCCACUUCCACAUAGGACCCUGGGGCCUCACAUGGACCAGCUGCUGUCCAGAACAGAGUGGACUGAUGAGUCUUUAGCCCAGCACUACUCUAUAAGCAGGCAGCUGGACAGGAACCUGCUCCAGGAUGCAUCCCCAGGAGGACCGCCAGCCAAUCCACACUCUGGACAUGUCCAUUUCUGAUGGACGGGUCGACAAGGUCCCUGAGCACUGAUGAUUAUAUUAGGUAAGGAGGCCUAAAGUCUCCUUAAGGCCACCUGUGACAAGUCCCUGAACUUCCCAUAUAAAUAUGAAGCAGGCCUCCACCACGGGAACCUAAAGACCAGUAAAUUAAGGAAUUCUACAUAUUUAACAUUUAAAACUCACCAUGUUUAAAUGAAAAAAAAAUAUAUUAGCUCCUUUUUUUCCUUUGUUGUCUGUCCCACAUAUCUGACACCUUCCAGUUUGUAAAACGGUGGAAAACAAGGCAUCAAUUAGCUCGUCAAUCCUCAGCAACGAGCCAAGAAGUCUGUCAUUCAGAGUCUACCCGUUCUACAGAAAGCCCUCUACGCCGCCGUCCCUCCGUCGGACCCACAGGCUCCCAGGCUGGUCAUUCCCUGCAGCCGACAGUGUAGUUAUCAACUAUCAGUUCCAGGUUAAUAUGAUAUUUUGUCUUAUUCCUGUCACAGACACACCCCCACUCGGAAACCAAAACCUUCAUCCACCUUCUUUUUAAAAUGGCAACAACGCUGAAGAUGCUACAAGGAAGUGGUGAGACCAUCCUGUCCGAGCAGACAGUUGGCUGUUUGAAGUCCGUCUUUGUCCUCUUUGUAGUCCGCGUGGCUCCUGCUGAAACCUCUGGGCAGGGCUUUGGUCCUUGGAGCUCCGUGUUGUAGCAGCUGUGAAUAAAACCUGACCGGACUUAGUGGACUGGACUCACAUGACUCUCAGGUAACUCCGGUAAAAUCCGUGAGAACGAUAUUUUGGUUUCCCCGAAAGACUGCUGAAAAACCAGGAGAGUCUGGAAAUCCUAUGUGAGAACACAGAUGGACGACUCUGGUUGCUCCGAUUGUCUCUGACCAAUCAACAGAUGGCAGAGUUUUUAGCUCCACCUCUAAGUACCACGUCAGUGUUCCAGGUACCUCAGCAGUAAACGGGGCCGGACGGAACGGUUCCAUCAGUACCAACAACAACCUUUGACCGUGUAAACUUGGUUCUGGUACAUGUUCUGGACGCUUCUUAUGAGUGUUGUGUUUUCUUAUGUUCUGUGCUGGAACCCGUCUGUGGUUGAAUAAUUUCAAAAUACUGACUCAAAGAAAGUAUUUUUAGGCGCGGACAUAAAUGGCGCUCUAAGCGACUGGUCACACGGUUACAGCGGGAGGUGACUCCAGAGUUUUAGUAAGACAUGGUUGGUCAGCUGUUGUACCCAGUGUCAAACUGAGUAUUUGUGUACUUCCUGGGAUUGAACAGCAGCGAGGGACUCAUUCAUCGGUAGUUGAGCUGUGGGUUUUGUAUUGAGCACUGACUGCACGGCGGUAGACUUCAGGUUCAUGUGUGUUCUGUGUGUCUUGUCUGCUGGUGCCUUUUGAAACACAUUGUUUUUUAGUGAUUGUUAAAGGGAAACUUUGCAUCAUUACAGUGUCGGCACAAUAUGCAUAUGAGAAAUGUCAAACUCAGCAAAUGACAUGUUAAUGUUCGAAGUACAGACUGUACUUUUUUUGUGCCGCCUCCAAAAUCAGAACAUUCUGCUUCCUGGUUGUCGACUAAAGUCACCAAAGCUCUGGGCCACACGAGGGCCAGACCACGACCGGAGCCUGAGCACCGAGCAGCAUCACCUGAGGCCUGUCAUCACGGCUCAGGACGAGACGCAGGUCCAGUUCCACCAGCAGACACCUGAAAGCACCACAGAAACACCAGAUGAACGGACUCUGAACUGGUUUCACACAUUUCUUCACUCAGUUUUUCAUUUCUCCCCAGGAGUGAGAUCAGAUCAUCAUUCAGCUGCAGUGCUCCCAUCAAAGGCUGCUCGUACAGAUUUUUCACACUUUAGUGAAUAAAACUUUCAGAACGUGUCGGUUCUAGUUUGUUCUAUAUGUCACAUUCACCAGAGUCAUCAGAGCAGGAGCAAAUAUAACGUUUGUGCUUCAUGGAGUCUUUUUGCUCGCAGCUGAUGGUGGAAUAGAUUCAAUCUGCACCUGCAUCAUUACACUACAGGUUUGUAGUAAACCAAGAAAUACUCAUUUUCUACUGUGGAAAAACUUUGAAUCAAGAAUCCUUUAUUGUCACUGAGCAUGUCGAAAUUGGCAUUGCAGCCCCCGUGUAGAUAAAAAGAAAGAUAAAAGUAAAGAUAAGGGAAUAAAAUAAACUAACAUGCAGUAAAAAUAUGCGUAAAUGCAGUAAAAAAUAAAAUAU